rnacentral:rRNA from 1 species
AAUGAACGCUAGCGGUAGGCCUAACACAUGCAAGUUGAACGCAUACUUUUACAGUAUAAGUAGCAAACGGGUGAGUAACGCGUGAGAAAUCUACCUUACAAUCUGGGAUAAAAUCCCGGAUUCUUUCUAAACUAGAUGUUCCGACAAAUAGUAUAGAAUAAAAGAUUAAAUGUCGUUGUAAGAUGUGCUCGCGUAGGAUUAGGUAGUUGGUGAGGUAAAAGCUACACCAAGCCGAAGAUCCUUAGCUGGUCUGAGAGGAUGAUCAGCCACACUGGGACUGAGACACGGCCCAGACGCUUUCGAGCGGCAGCAGUGAGGAAUUUUGGAAAAGGGGCGAAAGCCUGAUCCAGCCAUAUCGCAUGAGUGAAGAAGGCUAAAUUGGUUGUAAAGCUCUGAUUUGAUUGAAGAUUAUGACAUAAGAUAAAAGAAUAGUCCCGGCUAACUUCGUG